rnacentral:rRNA from 1 species
UGCCAGCCGCCGCGGUAAUACGAAGGGUGCUAGCGUUGUUCGGAAUUACUGGGCGUAAAGAGCAUGUAGGCGGAUGAAUUAGUCAGAGGUGAAAGCCCCGAGCUCAACUUGGGAACUGCCUUUGAUACUGUUUAUCUAGAGUCCGAGAGAGGUUAGUGGAAUUCCCAGUGUAGAGGUGAAAUUCGUAGAUACUCGGAGGAACACCAGUGGCGGAGGCGGCCCACUGGCUCGAUACUGACGCUGAGGUGCGAAAGCGUGGGUAGCAAACAGGAUUAGAUA